AACGUAGGACGCAAGCGUUAUCCGGAGUUACUGGGCGUAAAGCGCGAGCAGGCUGCUCGUCAAGUGGGGCGUGAAAGCUCUCGGCUAAACCGGGAGAGGCCGUUCCAAACUGAUGGGCUAGAGGGCAGCAGAGGUGGGUGGAAUUCCGGGUGGAGUGGUGAAAUGCGUAGAGAUCCGGAGGAACACCAGAGGCGAAGGCGACCCACUGGGCUGCCCCUGACGCUGAGACGCGACAGCUAGGGGAGCGAAC
rnacentral:rRNA from 1 species